rnacentral:rRNA from 1 species
GCCGCGUGGGGGAUGACGGCCUUCGGGUUGUAAACCUCUUUCGACAGGGACGAAGCUUUGGUGACGGUACCUGUAUAAGAAGCACCGGCUAACUACGUGCCAGCAGCCGCGGUAAUACGUAGGGUGCGAGCGUUGUCCGGAAUUACUGGGCGUAAAGAGCUCGUAGGUGGUUUGUCGCGUCGUCUGUGAAAUUCCGGGGCUUAACUUCGGGCGUGCAGGCGAUACGGGCAUAACUUGAGUGCUGUAGGGGAGACUGGAAUUCCUGGUGUAGCGGUGGAAUGCGCAGAUAUCAGGAGGAACACCGAUGGCGAAGGCAGGUCUCUGGGCAG